rnacentral:rRNA from 1 species
AAUGAAGCGCCAUGGAGGGUGAGAGCCCCGUCCAUCCCGCACAGGAUCCAUUCGUACAAGGACGCUUCAACCGAGUCGGGUAGCUUGGGAAUGCUGCUCUAAUUGGUGGUAAAUCUCAUCAAAGGCUAAAUAGUGGUGGGAGACCGAUAGCGAACAAGUACCGUGAGGGAAAGAUGGAAAGAACUUUGAAAAGAGAGUGAAAAGCACUUGAAACCGUCACGGGGGAAGCGGAUUGCGUGAGUGAUGGUGUCGCUUGUUCAGCGCUUUAUUGCGUGCAUUCUGGCGGCGCCGUGCCGGCGUGGCUGGCUGGACUGUGAUUUUGACAGUCUCGGCUGGUGAGGGCUCCCUCGUAUGAGGUGAGGACGCGGGCAAAAUGACGCAAUACGACCCGUCUUGAAACACGGACCAAGGAGUCUAGCACGGCUGCGAGUCGAAGAGUGAUUAAACUCAAGGGCGCAGUGAAAGCGAAAUUAUAAGCAAAUUGGGGAGGCGUUGCGUUUUUAACAAAAUGUCCUACCUCGAGCAUUUGUGCUGGGACCCGAAAGAUGGUGAACUAUGCCGGAGUAGGGCAAAGCCAGAGGAAACUCUGGUGGAGGCUCGUAGCGAUGCUGACGUGCAAAUCGCUCGUCGAACUUGGGUAUAGGGGCGAAAGACUAAUCGAACCAUCUAGUAGCUGGUUCCCUCCGAAGUUUCUCUCAGGAUAGCGGGCCGACACGCGUUUGUUGUUUUGUGCGGUAAAGCGAAUGAUUAGUGCAUUUGGGGUACGAAGUACUUCGGGCGAUUCUCAAACUUUAAAUGCGCAAGGGGGUGGCUGCUUAAUUGAGCCUACUCUUUGAAAAACGUCGGCCCUGUGGGCCACUUUUGGUAAGCAGAACUGGCGAUAA